UACGAAGGGGGCUAGCGUUGCUCGGAAUCACUGGGCGUAAAGCGCACGUAGGUGGCUUUUAAGUCAGGGGUGAAAUCCUGGAGCUCAACUCCAGAACUGCCUUUGAUACUGAGAAGCUUGAGUCCGGGAGAGGUGAGUGGAACUGCGAGUGUAGAGGUGAAAUUCGUAGAUAUUCGCAAGAACACCAGUGGCGAAGGCGGCUCACUGGCCCGGUACUGACGCUGAGGUGCGAAAGCGUGGGGAGCAAACAGGG
rnacentral:rRNA from 1 species